AAACUAGUAAUGGAUAAAACAUGGUCUUUAGAGACAGGAAGUGAGACUUCUUUAGUGAUGACGCUUUCUGGCACCCUGGCAUCGUACCUGCGUAGGGUAAGAUGGAUACCUUCAAAUUACCAUUUCUUGUUCCAGUCCCUUCAUACAAUGAACCAGUUCCUGAAAAUUUGCAUUGCAAAAUCAUGAAGAUACUGUAACUUCAAUUCUGCUAACACUUACAUGAGAAGGAAAGGAAGCUGGGAAGCACAUAUGCAAAAGGUGGUCAUUGGUUAAGAGUAAAGUGGAGAUAUUUUUCCAAGCACAAGGAGCAACCAUAGCAGGUGAGAAAGAGCAGAGAUGUUAAAAAGACUAAGUAGCUGGUCCUACAUAGCAGGAAAUUGUGGCCAAUGUCUGGGAAGCCCUGACUUCAGAUCCCAUCUUCUUUCAAGCUGCCUUCUGGACUGAGAGGCAGGAGUGCUCUUUGUGUCACAUCUUCCUCAUUUCUUAGCUGUCUGACCUCUACAGAUUUGCUUAACCACCCUACACCUCAAUUCCAUCUGCUGUCA